rnacentral:ncRNA from 1 species
UCUUUUAAAUGAUUUAUUGGGCUCAUUGACCACAAGUGAUGUCCCGAAGACAGCUUCUAGACAUACAACUAAAACAGCUAAAGAAAGCACACAUCACAUGAUCUUAAUCAAGGCUACAUGAAAUAAGCUUUGGCCCAGGAGACUGACCUGACAUAUCCUAGCCAUAAACGAUGGAUACUAGGCGCUGUGCGUAUCGACCUGUGCAGUGUUGUAGCUAACGCAUUAAAUAUCCCGCCUGGGGAGUAGGUUCGCAAGAAUGAAACUUAAAGUAAUUGAUGGGGGCCCGCCAAUGGUGAAACAUAUUGAGAUUGACAGAUUCCUUCAACACAAUGGUGUUGGACUAGAUUGAAUGCAAAGAAUUGAUACACAUAAAUU